CGCCUUUCGCUCCUUUGUCUAGCGAAAAGAGCACAGAGAACGAUAUUUAACAGUUUGUGGAGUGAGACGAUCAAAUCGAAACGAUGACUACGACAUCCACACAUGUUUUACACGCGUAUCUGGAAAAAAUGGAGACCGACAAUCGACAAAAGCUUCAGAUGCUACAGAUCGUCAUCGUGCCCAUGUUCUUGAGGAAGUUCCUGGGUGGCUUCAGAAAACCCCAAGAUAUCUGUGGCAAAUGUGUCCAUGCUGAUUUCAGGAGGCAGCAUGCUCCCAAGUAGAGAUUCUGUACGGGACAGACAGUAGUCAAAAUUGGUACAUUUUGAAAUUAACUUUCAACCUUUUUGGCAAAACAUUCCUUGACCUCAAGAAAGUUAUGUUAAUACAGUUCAGAUGACAGUAUAACAUCUACAAUGACAAGCUACAGUAUUAUUCACACUUUUGAACACAGUGCUUUGAACACAGACCACUGUUUGUUUAUGGUACAUCUUUAAUCUAAGAUUUAAAAACGGUCAUGUCUAAUGGCAUCCUGCACACCAAUAUUCAAAUCACUGGCCACCUGAGAUUUUAGAAUGGAGAUAAAGGUUAGGAUCAUGAUUGUCAGUUAUUCUACAGUCCACUGUGUUAUGUACUGUAUGUUAGCACUGUUUGCUUUUGAGACCUUGAAACGCUGACGUGUGAUGUCAGACUUAACAUUCAGGAAGAAAGCCAUUAAAUUUAGUUUAAGGUGCACAGGUAUAUUUGUAGCGAUAGACAACAAUACAUUGGGUCAAAAUUAUCGAUUUUUCUUUUAUGCCAAAAAUUGUUAGGUUAUUAAGUAAAGAUCAUGUUGCAUGAAGAUUUUUUAUCAUACCUACCGUAAAUAUAUCAAAACGUAAUAUGGAUUUCUAAGAACUUAAUUUGAUUGAUUUUCUCAAUAUUUAGAUUUUUUUUUUGCACCAUCAUGUUACAGAUUUUCAAAUAGUUGUAUCUCAGCCAAAAAUUGUCCCAUCCUAACAAAACAUACAUCCAUGUGAAACAUAAAAAUGGACCCUUAUGAUUGGUUUUGUGGUCCAAGUUCACAUUUGUCCAUCAGUAUGGUGGUUCACAGGAGUUUUGCCUACCUGUGCAACUGGCUCCCUCUCCACUAAUACCUACAAGCGUUGUAAAGCAUUCAGCCAAGUCAUCCUCAGUCAUAU